ACAUAAGAAGAAGCACCUUUUUAGAAAAAGUAAUGAUGAAUUGGAUGCUGUAAAAAAGAAAUGGAAGAAGGCAUUGAAUUUAGAUGAAGAGGUAUAUCCAAGCACUUCACAUGAUACUCAUCCAUAUAUUUCAAGUAAGAAGGCUGCUCAGAAAGACAAAAGAGUGCAAACAAAUAAUUCACAUACAACUCCUGCACGUACUUUAAUUGAGGAAAUUUUUCGAAGAGACAACAAGAAACCUUCAAAUGAUUUACAUAAUAAAUGUAUUACCAUCGUCUCUUCACAUGAGAUGACAUCUCAAACAGUCUCAAACACUUCAGGAUACAAGUAUGAUAGGCCUGUGUUGACAAGAUCUGAAAGAUUCAAGAUUUAUCAGAAAUAUCUUGGUCCAAUGAUCGUCGACCCUUCUAAUGGGAAGAAGACAUUUCAUGCUAAUAAGAAACAAUUAAAUCAUAAUUUGGAUAACAGUUGUAAAAAAGUAGAGGCUAAAAGAAAGAAAGAAGGUACAUGCAGAAAGAGAUGUUUGUUGAGGAGAUUCUGUAAGAGGGUUAAUGACUUCUUCCAAAUUAGGAAGUCAUAAUUUUCCUUGGAUGCAUUUUGGAUUGGAUUGGAUUGCUU
rnacentral:lncRNA from 1 species